rnacentral:rRNA from 1 species
GACGAACGCUGGCGGCGUGCUUAACACAUGCAAGUCGAACGGAAAGGCCCUGCUUUUGUGGGGUGCUCGAGUGGCGAACGGGUGAGUAACACGUGAGUAACCUGCCCUUGACUUUGGGAUAACUUCAGGAAACUGGGGCUAAUACCGGAUAGGAGCUCCUGCUGCAUGGUGGGGGUUGGAAAGUUUCGGCGGUUGGGGAUGGACUCGCGGCUUAUCAGCUUGUUGGUGGGGUAGUGGCUUACCAAGGCGUUGACGGGUAGCCGGCCUGAGAGGGUGACCGGCCACAUUGGGACUGAGAUACGGCCCAGACUCCUACGGGAGGCAGCAGUGGGGAAUAUUGCACAAUGGGCGGAAGCCUGAUGCAGCAACGCCGCGUGCGGGAUGACGGCCUUCGGGUUGUAAACCGCUUUCGCCUGUGACGAAGCGUGAGUGACGGUAAUGGGUAAAGAAACACCGGCUAACUACGUG